CGCGAAACCAAGAGAGCGAGGGCCCGAGGCCCCCGAAACCUUCCCCUGGUCCCCACGCCCGCGCGAGCGCUACCUCUCUCGCCGCCUGCGCCGCCGCCUUCUCCCCCCAAGCUUCGGCUCCAGCAAGAUAGCCCGGCCGAUUCUCGCAGCCCCCCAAAAGCCGGCACGCCGACGGCCUUCGUCCUCUAGCGCCGGCGCGUCGCCGCGAUCCCCGCCGGCACGGGCGCCUAUUCCCCCCUUGCUCCUGCUCCCCGCUCGCGCCGCCGUUGCCGCGCGCCUCCAUGAACUUCUCCGACGACUGGCGCUUCCUCUUCCCCGUCUCCUCCGUGUUCAACCCGCCGUCCCUCGCCCCGCCGGACGCCUCCCACGGGCCCCUCUUCUUCACCCCUCUCCCGCCGCCCGUCCCGCUCCUCUCCCUCCCCUUCCCCUUCCCUCCGCCCCUGCACGCCUCCACCACCGGCGACCUCCGCCACGCCCUCCGCUACUUCAUCGCCUCCACCUCCUUCCUCCCCUACUCCGAUCUCAAGUCCCUCUCGGGACCCCUCCUCGCCGCGCCGUCGCCGCCGUUCCCACCACCUUCCAAUCUUCUCGCCGUCCUCCCCUCCCGCUCCUCAAGCUCUCUCGUCCUCUUUUUCCCGUACGGCGAGAAUGCGGAGAAGAUUGCUUUCGCUCUUGUGAACUCCCCCGUUGCGAGCUCUGCGCCCGUUUCGCCCUUCGUUCAGAGGGAUGGGUUCAAGCACCCUGGGCACCGCAUACAGCAGCUUGCUGCUAUUCCUGCCCAGUCGUCCUGGUCAUCGGAGCCGGAUGACAGCUGUGUCGAGGGUUUCCUGCUUGCUGCGACAUUGUACACAGUGAGUUGGUUCAGGGUCGAGUCACGCGAUUCGGGUUCCCCGGUGCUUGUACCGGUGGCCAAGCAGGGGUUUGAUGCUGCUGUCGUGCACGCGUGCUGGAGCAGGCAUUUUCCGUCACAAUGUGCGGUGCUGCUGGAGAGUGGGGAGUUGUGUUGGUUUGAUCUGAAUACACGACUUGGAGGAAAGACGAGCGUUGGUUUUGGCAGCAAUGGUGAAGACUGGGGGGACUGGCUGAGCUGUGCGUAUGGAGCGCAACCGUGGAUGGUGAUCGUCGCAAGCACAAAAGCCGUCCUUUUGGUUGAUUUGAGCUUUGCAUAUCAUGGUGACAAAUACGCCGUGGAAAACGAGCCACACAAGUUUCAGUACAAGGUUCUAGCAAAAAUUGGGUUGCCAGGGUUGUUUGAAACUGAGCCUUUUGACAGGACUGAGCAUUAUAUUGCAUUCUGCAAGGCUGGGUUCGAUGAUUCCCAUAUAUCAGUAGUGACAGAGCGUCACUUGAUUCUCCUUGAUGUGACAAAGCCGUUGGAACCUGUGUUGGCUUGGCAGCAUGGGCUUGAGAACCCAAAUCAUGUUGCCAUGUUUCGGCUAUCUGAAUUGAGACCUUCCAAGGAAUAUGAUUGGGCUUCAAAUUCAGGUUUUGCCAUUUUGGUUGGUUCGUUCUGGAAUGGGGAGUUCAGUUUGUUCUGUUACGGGCCUAAGGAGCAAGGUUGUCUAGAUAAUUCUCAUUUAUACGCUUGGGAUAUUCCUUCGAGGCUUUCUCUGACAGGUCAGCAUUGUGGCUGCAGCAAUGGAAUCAUGAAAGAGAUAUUCUCAACGCCUAUUUCAGUAUAUGAUGGGUAUGCUUCCCAACACCGCGCUAAGUCCAUUGUUGGCUACUAUGUGCUUCCAGAUGACCUCUCAAUAUCGGAGCCAACAUCUGCCAGCUUUGCCUUGAUCCGGCUAACAGCACUGGGGAAGUUGGAAAUGCAACAGUAUCGUGCAUCUCGAGGUCUGCAUGAUGAAAUUGACACCCCAUGUGAUGAAUCAGAACAUGCAUCCAUGGAUAGUAGUUCAUCCAUUUUGAUUGACACUCAAGGUGAAAAUGUCUCCACCAAAUAUCGAUUCUUGAAGUUGCAUUUCCUAUAUGAACAUCUGAAGGGCAAUCUAUGCAGUGCGUUGGCGAAGCAUGGUACUAGUGUUAACGGAGACAGAGAUCAAAUUAUUAUUAGUGAAGAUGUGUUGGCAUUUGCAGAGGAUAACUCUAGAUCCAGCUCGUUGCCAGUUUCAGAUUUCCUAUGUAAUGCUAGCAUCCCCAUGAAUGUUUUCGAAAUUGCAUGUCAGAGCAUAUUGAACAGUCUACCUUCAAAUAUUCUUCAUGUCUCCCUUUCUAAAUACAAGGACAUGCUAAAAUGCGAUACAAAAGAAGGCUUAGUAGAAUAUUUAAAAGUUCCUAGCUGUUCGCCACACAAUGAACUUCGGCCUUUCCUGUUAGCGAAACCAUCAAGCACAUGUGAGAAGGUGACUAGCAAAGCGGUAUCUCAAAAUGCUCUUGUUGGGCCAGUGCUCCCUGUGCAUGUCCUACUUGCAAUGGAAGAGAUGAACAGGGGCAUAGACAGCUCUUCGGAAAGAGAAACUGCAGAAACUGACUUAGUACGCCAUCGAUGUAGUGAGGUGCUUGAAGCCUUUGUUCCUGAAGUAUCCAUUGCUGAGUCCGACAACUUUGAUGGAUGGUUCUCCUCACAAAAGUUGAAUGACAAGAAGUCAUAUCUUGUUUAUGAGCCUCGGAUUGAAAAUAAGUUUACUCUUGAUGAAACUGUUAUAAAGAAGGAAAACGAAGAGCAAAAUGCCGCUGAUCGUACAUCUUUUGAAACGUCUGCAGCACCAUACAAGGAUGAGAACUUCAUGACAUUUGUCUGUGGAAAAGCUGGAACUCUUGAUUCUGGGCCUGAACAAACCACAUCUGAUUUGUUUGAUUUCACCCCAGUGAGGAUGGAUUUUGCUUCCGCAGAUCUAGACAUUCAACCUGCCGAGGAAGAAGUGUACAGAUGCUUGAAGAAACAAUUUUUAAGAUGGCAAAAUAAUUUCAAGCCAUACCAAGAUUUUUGUAACUCAUAUAAAAUACAAAAGCCAUCAUAAUGGCCUGCAGUGCUCCAUUCAGUUGUAGCAGACAAAUCUAAGACAAGAAUUUUGGGACGGAGGGAGUAAUAUAUACGCUCUCAGGUACUUGGCCUGUUAUAGACAUACAGUGCUGUUUGCGUAUUGCAAACACUUCUUGGGAGUAAGAUGCAGUGGGCGGCGCUGUAAAUUAUGAAGGGGGACCAUUGUAUGUCAUGAUUCUGAAGCUUCAUGCUGAUGGAUGAAAGCAAAUCCAGUCACACGAUGGCCUCGUGAUUAAUGCACCUAUUAUAUUGACAGGAUUUGCCACCACUUGAUGUUAAGCAUUGGUGCAUUUAACGGGAAUUUCACGCACUUGAUGUUAAGCAUUGGUGCGCCAUUUAUAGACCGUGGUAGCAAGGCAGCAAGAGUCCAAGCCAUAUUGGGGCAUUACAUAGGCGACAAGGAGGGAGUGUGAUUGCAUCAAAAGUUCAACAUUUUGCUGAGUGACAACUACGAGCAUUAGCGCGGGCGUUCUUUUCUUUUCUUCUUCUUUGUUGAGAGAAAUCGUGUGGCAGUUGUAACCUAACCAGAUACGUGCACUCAUAAAAAAAAACUGUCUCACACGAGUUUUUCUUCAUUUCAGUUGAGCCAAAACCUGCCAUUUGGGCAAAGUUUUUUGGCUGAAAUCUUAGUUUGCUAUGGGCUGCAACGAUAGUGGCGUGUUUGCCUGUUGAACUGUGCAGUGAAGUGUACAUAUUUUCUCUUGAGCAGGGACCAUUGUAUGUCAUGAUUCUGAAGCUUCAUGCUGAUGGAUGAAAGCAAAUCCAGUCACACGAUGGCCUCGUGAUUAAUGGUAUUUAUGUUGUACUUUCGCAUUGGGAAUGCAUGUUUGAGACUGUACUGCAUCAUGCAGACGGUCAUUGUACAGAAUACAGUUAGAACACUCAAAUUUUGUUCUCUCUG